AACGAACGCUGGCGGCAGGCCUAACACAUGCAAGUCGAACGCUCCAGCAAUGGAGAGUGGCAGACGGGUGAGUAACGCGUGGGAACCUACCCUUUGGUUCGGAAUAGCCCAGGGAAACUUGGGGUAAUACCGGAUAAGCUCUUCGGGGGAAAGAUUUAUCGCCAAUGGAUGGGCCCGCGUCGGAUUAGCUAGUUGGUGGGGUAACGGCCUACCAAGGCGACGAUCCGUAGCUGGUCUGAGAGGAUGAUCAGCCACACUGGGACUGAGACACGGCCCAGACUCCUACGGGAGGCAGCAGUGGGGAAUAUUGGACAAUGGGCGCAAGCCUGAUCCAGCCAUGCCGCGUGAGUGACGAAGGUCUUCGGAUUGUAAAGCUCUUUUGGCGGGGACGAUAAUGACGGUACCCGCAGAAUAAGCCCCGGCUAACUUCGUGCCAGCCGCCGCGGUAAAAC
rnacentral:rRNA from 1 species